rnacentral:rRNA from 1 species
UACGUAGGGUGCAAGCGUUAUCCGGAUUUAUUGGGCGUAAAGGGCUCGUAGGCGGUUCGUCGCGUCCGGUGUGAAAGUCCAUCGCUUAACGGUGGAUCCGCGCCGGGUACGGGCGGGCUUGAGUGCGGUAGGGGAGACUGGAAUUCCCGGUGUAACGGUGGAAUGUGUAGAUAUCGGGAAGAACACCAAUGGCGAGGGCAGGUCUCUGGGCCGUUACUGACGCUGAGGAGCGAAAGCGUGGGGAGCGAACAGG